UACGGAAGGCAGCAGUGGGGAAUAUUGCACAAUGGGCGCAAGCCUGAUGCAGCCAUGCCGCGUGUAUGAAGAAGGCCUUCGGGUUGUAAAGUACUUUCAGCGGGGAGGAAGGCGGUGAAGUUAAUAGCUUCACCGAUUGACGUUACCCGCAGAAGAAGCACCGGCUAACUCCGUGCCAGCAGCCGCGGUAAUACGGAGGGUGCAAGCGUUAAUCGGAAUUACUGGGCGUAAAGCGCACGCAGGCGGUCUGUCAAGUCGGAUGUGAAAUCCCCGGGCUUAACCUGGGAACUGCAUUCGAAACUGGCAGGCUAGAGUCUUGUAGAGGGGGUAGAAGUUCCAGGUGUAGCGGUGAAAUGCGUAGAGAUCUGGAGGAAUACCGGUGGCGAAGGCGGGCCCCUGGGACAAAGACUGACGCUCAGGGUGCGAAAGCGUGGGGAGCGAAACAGGGAUUAGGAUACCCGGU
rnacentral:rRNA from 1 species